CCAAUGAUACUAGGAAAUUACAAGACAAACGCUAUCCGGACCCCCAACCAAAAAGACAACGAGAAGUCCAAGCUAAAGGACCCAAAAUCCGGCCCAGCCGAAUUUUGCCUUGUGGCGCCCGCCAUAGACCCUGUGGCGCCCACCACAUCGUCUGUAUAAACUCGGGGCAGACUCCUUUCCUUCACCAUUUUUACACCUUCAAACCUUCAAAACCCAUUUUUUCACCUUGCAAAAACGUCCUUGAACCCCACAAAAGCUCCCACCUUUCUCAUCCUCGCACCAUACGAAUCAUUUUCC
rnacentral:lncRNA from 1 species